CAUUUGCUACUUCAGGUUAGCCAAUAUGAUUUUUUGAAUUCGUUCAAUUCCUCUCCUCACCAACUACUGAAGCCAGGGACGUGAUCCAUCCUUGCAAUGGCCAUCGGAGCCAUUCUUCCACUCACUUUAGCUCUCAUUUUGGUGAAUCAAUGGACGGAAGGCUUUCAUUUUACCCCUGCUCAAGCCAACCUUGCCAAAUUGGGGUCUUGGAGUCGAAGGAACCAAUUGGAUUCGCGGUUAAUCAAGUGUCUCCAGAGAGCCAAGCUCAUGGACUGCCAAAACGACAUUGUCAAGGUACUCAUCUCGAGAAGCAGGAAUAGAAAGCGUGAGCCUCCAUUUCAGCUCAAGA